CCUUAAAGAAGUGUUCUUUGCAGUGCUCACACAGAUUGUGUGAUGAAAAACGAGCAGUAAAACCUUCACAGGCUUGUAGCUCANGUGGGUAGAGCGCACCCCUGAUAAGGGUGAGGUCGGUGGUUCAAGUCCACUCAGGCCUACCAAAUUCGCUCUCGUGCUUUGUUGUGGCAAAGNUANCAUACUUCAUUNUGUUUCGUUUCACCACCCCGNNCCCGGAAANGAAUCAANNGUNAAAGGUUCUGACUACACGAUGGGGCUAUA
rnacentral:misc_RNA from 1 species